rnacentral:lncRNA from 1 species
AAAGAACGAAAACAAGAGACAAAUAAGCAGUAAAACAUGCAUUUAAUCUAAUUAAUUAAGAAAAGGAAAAGCUGGGAAAAAAAAAAGAAGUACCUCAAUGAAGGUUGUAGUUCCUUGGCUAAAGUUUUGAUGAAAUUCCAAGUUUCAAUCCAACCGGUUGCUGCUCCUUUUUUUCAUGUUGUGUAUGAGUGUGUUGGGAGAAAAGAGAUGGCCGAGAGUGAGUGAGAUUGAGGGAGUAAGUGGAGUCUCUUUUUUUUUGUGUGGCUUUGAGAGGGAGACGGGAGAAGUUUGAGAGGGGAGUUGGGAGUUGGAGUCCUUCUAUGUUGUGUUUUUGUGAAUU